UUAAUAAAAAUCGGUGCGUUGCAAUUUUUUGUGACGUUCCGGAGUUUGAGUUAUCUUAACUUUUGGUUCUAAGAGGCUUAAAAUUAACCUUUUGUGCAUUUUAGACGUACAUAAAUUUCCUUUAUUCGUCUAUCCUAAUGCCAAAAUCUAUUAGAUGCGACCAUGUCUUGUGGUUCCGUGUCUAUAAAUUUUUCAUG
rnacentral:misc_RNA from 1 species